rnacentral:lncRNA from 1 species
GGGUGGUGCCUGACAAAGGUCACUGUCCAGAGCAGCUGGGCCCGAGGGGAGGGCAUGGCAUUGGCCACGGCUUGGUUCAGCUCGGCUCAGUGACAAGGGAGCCCCUCCCAGGUGCUGGGGGAUCUGAGAUAGUUUGUCAGCAACAUCCGGCCCCAUGACCGAAGUAUUAUGAAGGAACAAUGAAGCUCUUGGACCUAGAAAACAGGGCAGGGGAGAGAAAGGAAUCUAAGGAGAUUUGAGGAACAGAAGUGGACCCAAAGACUAACAAAGGCCCUCAUCGAUCGUUCCAGAGAAGAAUCAAUCAGAAAGCCCUGGUCUUUCCUUCCACUCUGCCUCAAGGAGAGAAUACAGAGAGAAGCAGGGCUUUGAUUUGGGAACCUGGGUCCCCGAAGAUUGGAGAGUUUUCUCAGAGAGUUCAGAGAUGGGGGCGGGCCAGAAUGAAUGGAAC